AUUGAACGCUGGCGGCAUGCCUUACACAUGCAAGUCGAACGGCAGCACGGGAGCUUGCUCCUGGUGGCGAGUGGCGAACGGGUGAGUAAAGCAUCGGAACGUGCCCUGAAGUGGGGGAUAACGUAGCGAAAGUUACGCUAAUACCGCAUAUUCUGUGAGCAGGAAAGCAGGGGACCGCAAGGCCUUGUGCUUUAGGAGCGGCCGAUGUCGGAUUAGCUAGUUGGUGAGGUAAAGGCUCACCAAGGCGACGAUCCGCAGCGGGUCUGAGAGGAUGAUCCGCCACACUGGGACUGAGACACGGCCCAGACUCCUACGGGAGGCAGCAGUGGGGAAUUUUGGACAAUGGGGGCAACCCUGAUCCAGCCAUGCCGCGUGAGUGAAGAAGGCCUUCGGGUUGUAAAGCUCUUUCGGCCGGGAAGAAAUCGUGUGGGCUAAUACCCUGCAUGGAUGACGGUACCGGAAUAAGAAGCACCGGCUAACUACGUGCCAGCCGCCGCGGUAAUAC
rnacentral:rRNA from 1 species